GACGAACGCUGGCGGCGUGCUUAACACAUGCAAGUCGAACGGAAAGGCCCUGCGUUUGUGGGGUGCUCGAGUGGCGAACGGGUGAGUAACACGUGAGUAACCUGCCCUUGACUUUGGGAUAACUUCAGGAAACAGGGGCGAAUACCGGAUAGGAGCUCCUGCUGCAUGGUGGGGGUUGGAAAGUUUCGGCGGUUGGGGAUGGACUCGCGGCUUAUCAGCUUGUUGGUGGGGUAGUGGCUUACCAAGGCUUUGACGGGUAGCCGGCCUGAGAGGGUGACCGGCCACCUUGGGACUGAGGUACGGCCCCGACUCCUACGGGAGGCAGCAGUGGGGAAUAUUGCACAAUGGGCGGAAGCCUGAUGCAGCAACGCCGCGUGCGGGAUGACGGCCUUCGGGUUGUAAACCGCUUUCGCCUGUGACGAAGCGUGAGUGACGGUAAUGGGUACAGAAGCACCGGCUAACUACGUG
rnacentral:rRNA from 1 species